rnacentral:rRNA from 1 species
UUUAAGGUCUGACCUGCCCAAUGAUAAUUUAAUGGCCGCAGUAUUUUGACUGUGCAAAGGUAGCAUAAUCAUUAGUUUCUUUAUUGGAAGCUGGAAUGAAUGGUUUGAUGAGAAAUUAGCUGUCUCUUAAUUAUUUUUAGAACUUUAUUUUUUAGUUAAAAAGCUUAAAUUUUAUAGAAAGACGAGAAGACCCUAUAGAGUUUUAUUUUGCUUUAAUUUUUUAUUUAUGGUUGUUUUUUAAUUUGAUCAAAAUUUUGUUGGGGUGAUAAAUAAAUAUAUUUAACUUUAUUUUAUUAGAACAAUUAUUUUUGAGUGUUUGAUCCUUUAUUUUGGAUUUUAAGAUUAAAUUACCUUAGGGAUAACAGCGUAAUUUUUUCUGAAAGCUCUUAUUGAAGAAAAAGUUUGCGACCUCGAUGUUGGAUUAAAAUUAAUUAUUGGUGUAGCAGCUGAUUGAUUAAGUCUGUUCGACUUUUAAAAUUUUACA